rnacentral:rRNA from 1 species
CCUACGGGUGGCAGCAGUAGGGAAUAUUGCUCAAUGGAGGAAACCCUGAAGCAGCAACGCCGCGUGAAGGAUGAAGGUUUUCGGAUUGUAAACUCCUUUUGUUAGAGAAGAUAAUGACGGUAUCUAACGAAUAAGCACCGGCUAACUCCGUGCCAGCAGCCGCGGUAAUACGGAGGGUGCAAGCGUUACUCGGAAUGACUGGGCGUAAAGAGGGCGUAGGCGGGAUAGCAAGUCAGAUGUGAAAUUCUAGGGCUUAACCAUAGAACUGCAUUUGAAACUGUUAUUCUAGAGUAUGGGAGAGGUAGGUGGAAUUCUUGGUGUAGGGGUAAAAUCCGUAGAGAUCAAGAGGAACACCCAGUGCGAAGGCGACCUGCUAGAACAUAACUGACGCUGAGGCGCGAAAGCGUGGGGAGCAAACAGGAUUAGAUACCCCUGUAGUC